rnacentral:lncRNA from 1 species
AUGUGAUACAUUCCUCUCCUCUUCUUUACCUUCCUUAUUGUUACCCUCCCCAACCUUAUUAUCUAUUACACGUCCACUCCUAAGGAUAGUCAAAGCAUUGGCUUGUUCAUGAUUUAGUCGAGUUUCUUGAGCCACGUAUUGUCCCCUUGGAUUACUCAUUGGUUGACUUGGAAGCUUGCCUUCCUCUCGCUUGUUUAAUGCAUUAGCUAGUUGACCCAUUUGGGGUUCUAGCUUAGCAAUGGAUUGCGUGUGAGAGUGUAAUAGUUGUGUGUUUGCCUCCAAACCUUGAAGGGCAGUCAACACUUUCUCCUCAAAGGUUGUAUUUCUUUGGGGUGGAGGAGGAGGAUGUUGAAAUUGAGUUGAGGGAGGGUAGAGAUCAAAAUUCUGAGGAUAUUGAAAAUUUUGGGAGUAGGGUUGGGCAGUAUUCGAAGCUUGCUGCUUCCAAGAAAAAUUUGGAUGAUUCCGCCAUCCUGGGUUAUAUGUAUUGGAAAAUGGGUCAUUACCAGGUCUGGGCUAUGUUUGAGCAGCAUUGAUAUGUUCUUGCAUGAGUUUGGAGAAUUGGGAUGCUGAGGGGCACUCAUGAAUAAGAUGCGAUGGGCUAGAACAGAUAGCACACACUUGUGCUUGGGAAGAGCUAACGACAUGUCCUCCUAUCAUCAGUUGGUCAAUCUUAUGGGACAAUGCAUCUACCUUGCUAGACAGAUCCAUAGAAUGACUUAUUUCACAAAUGGUCCCUUUUCUUUGAGAACUCGGGGGUGCUUGACGAGAACAGGAAGCAUGGUGGAGGAAGUUUUCAUUGAGAUUUUCAAAUAAUUCCCAUGCUUCAUGCUCAUUUUUAAGCAUGAAAGUCCCCCCGCAUGCGGCAUCGAUCAUCUGACGGUUUCGUUCAGUCAAUCCGUCAUAGAAACAUUGCACUAGCUGCCAUUUAGGUAUUUGAUGAUGUGGGCAUUUACGGAUUA